rnacentral:rRNA from 1 species
AAAGAUUUAUCGCCUUUAGAUCAACCCGCGUCAGAUUAGCUAGUUGGUAGGGUAACGGCCUACCAAGGCGACGAUCUGUAGCUGGUCUGAGAGGAUGAUCAGCCACACUGGGACUGAGACACGGCCCAGACUCCUACGGGAGGCAGCAGUGGGGAAUAUUGGACAAUGGGCGCAAGCCUGAUCCAGCCAUGCCGCGUGAGUGAUGACGGCCUUAGGGUUGUAAAGCUCUUUUAACAGGGACGAUAAUGACGGUACCUGUAGAAUAAGCCCCGGCUAACUUCGUGCCAGCAGCCGCGGUAAUACGAAGGGGGCUAGCGUUGUUCGGAAUCACUGGGCGUAAAGCGCACGUAGGCGGAUUGUUAAGUCGGGGGUGAAAUCCUGAGGCUCAACCUCAGAACUGCCUUCGAUACUGGCGAUCUUGAGUUCGGAAGAGGUUGGUGGAACAGCUAGUGUAGAGGUGAAAUUCGUAGAUAUUAGCUAGAACACCAGUGGCGAAGGCGGCCAACUGGU